rnacentral:lncRNA from 1 species
GUUGCGCAUUCACUUGCCUCCAUGGCUAAGUGGCUUAACCCCAACUAUGCCGUGGACACCCUCUAAUGGAGUGACUUUGACAUAGUCAAAGAUCAAGGACCUAACCACAAGACAACUAUGAUGCCUCAGGUCAAAGGACUACUUUGCAUUAUCCCAACCAUGAGUUCUCAUGUGACAUGAGUAUGAGAACUCCUUCGUUGAUCGUGUUCAGUGGACUCAUUCUCUAUUGAGCACCUACAUACUUGUCUUGGUGUCAGUCACACCAAUGACUCGAGACCAGUCACUCUCCCUAAGAGAAGACAUAACACGUACUGAUCUUAACGGACUGUCAAUGCCCAAUUGGCAAUCCUAUGAUCAGGAACGUUUAGGAUAUGUAUACGGAAGAGAAUGGUCUCAUGAAUCUAACUUCUUUAGAUCGCAUUCUCCCAAUUACAUAUUCCUUGGACUUAUCGUUUAAGCAUAUAACAUUUAUAUGAGACGGCUUCAAACAAUAAUCUUUGCCCUUUAUAUUAAACUAGAUUAGUUUAACAUGUGAAAUGUCCGUAAAGUAUCAUCAUAUGAUUGGUUUUAGGGCACAUUUCCAACAAUCUCCCACUUGCACUAGAGCCAAUCAGCUUGGUCAUCAAUGAUGAUACCUCUUCUGUAGUCAUUUCAAAAAUGGCUGAGUAGUAGGCCUAGACAAUGGAUAUCUAUAUGUUAUCCAUAGAAGCAACCUUGAGAAUAACGACGUCACCAUUAUACAUGAUUCUUAAUCAUGUGGUUCAGUCUCUCAUUUGAGUUCGGAUCUUGAUGAGACCUUGAUUCCCUGGCUUGAGCUAUCGCCCCAUUAGUGUCAUAGUGUCGGUACACUAGAGACACUUUCUGGUUGGAACCGAAUAGAGAGUUCAUAAAUGAACUUUCCCAUCCAAACAACAUUGUUGUAAGCUUCUAUAUGGCAAUAUAUUUUGCAUUCAUAAUGGAAACACACUAAAGUCAUUACUUUUAAUGUUUCCAUCCAAAUAUCUCUUUAGUCAUAAUAAAGAGAUAUCUGAUUAUCUCUUCAUUCAUAAUGAAGAAACAUCCAAUGAUGGAUUAGAUUCAUAAUCUAAUACAUUUACGCUUCCAUUACGUUACUCUAAUUCUUCCUCAUUCUUUGAGGAAUCUAUCCUUUAGUAUUUCUUAAAUACUUAAGGACUCACUUGACAGUUGCCAUGGUUCUGAUCCUGGGCUUGCACUGAUAUCGUCUUGUACCGUUCUAGGUACAACUCAUAUCAAUGUUUUUCAUACAAUAUGAAAUACAUAAAUCACCUUUCUGCGUAUGCAUAAAGGAUUCUAUUUACGCAUUAUUUCUUUGGGAGUCAAAGGGUACGUUCCCUUUGAGAAGAGCAACUUCCUAGUCUCACUAGAGUUGUUCUUCUGAUUGAAGUUUAUCAUCAUAUGAGAAACUUCCUAGCAUCUUUUGUCUAUUAUUAGGGAUUGAUAUAAUCCAAUUAUAUCUUGAAAUCUAUCAUUAUAGAUUUCCAUCCCAUGUAUAUAGACUAUGUCUCCCAUAUACAUUCUAUCUUUAUAGAAUGUUUAAAGUCAUAACUUUAACGAAGAAGUAUUCUUUUCAUUUCCAAAAUUAAUAUAUCAUAUAUAUAUUUAAAUUUUAGGAACAUGAUUAACUCCCACUAAUCUUUUGUAAACCUAGUAAACAAAAGAUUCAUUUACAUCUUUAUGAGAAAUCAAACGAUUUGAUCUUUCUCUCAUAAGACGCUUAUAGCUCCCACUAGCUUGCUAAGAUCCAUGAUGGAUGGAUCUCUACAACUUACAUGUCUUGUGAUUCAUAGUUUUAGACAUAUAUUAUCAAGACUAUCUUAAUAAUGGUUUCGGAAACCCAUAUUAUGUCCAAACAUUGAAUCACCAUUUAGUUGUAGCUAGCAAUCUUCGAAUUAAUUGAAACCAAGACUACGUCAAAGAUGGUUUCUUCAAAGUCAACCAAUCUCUUUGAUUGUAGUCACCUUAAGCUACCAAUUAGCUAUAAAGGUUUCAUUAUUUCGGGUCAAAUGGUAUUUUACCAUUUCCUUGAGUAUAUGUCGUAUAUACACUCAAUGUAGUCAUAAGGAUUUUCAUUCUUAUUUCUUUCGAAUUAAGAGGUGUAACUCUAUGACAUAGUCAUAAAGUUCAAACCAUUCAACUGAGACAGUUUAUAAAUCCUUCUCGACUACCUUGGAGCUUGUGGUAUAGGAACUAGGUUGUUAUAUUUGUUGAUUACUAUCUUGUCUCUCAAAGAACCCAUUCUUUGAGUUCUAUCUCUCGUUCAUUUGUUCUAUCUUAGGCAAAUCACUAGUGUAGGAUUACAAUGAACUACCCAACAAAACAACAUUUGUUAGUUGGUUUAUAGAAGUGAUAUCCAAAGGUUAAUUUAAGGAUAUCCACAAGAUAAUUCUCAAACAAAUAUUGCUUAUUAGCACACAACCCCAAAUCUUAACAUGAUUAAGAUUUGUCUUUCUUUCCAACUACAUCCUAUGGAGUCAUGAAAAAUUUUGGAAGAUCUUCUAAUUGACAAUCAUAUUGUCUUAGAAGUAUAUAUCCUAUAUAUGGGUAAUUGAUAACAUCCAACGAACUAAAUCUUAUUCAAGUUCGUUCUUCUCCUAAUGGAGAAAUCCAUUAUCUUAUGAUGCUUCUUUCCUUGAUAUCUUUCAAGGAAACUGUUCUAAAGUGUUACCUUUCCUUGGAUCAAAUCUAAGGAGGUAAAUACUUUAGACGUCUUACUCAUCAACUUACAUUUCUUGAAUUCUUUGAAACCUUUUGCAAAGUAUUCGGACUUGUGUUUAUUCAAAAUAAACUAUAGUCCAACCGAGAGCGAUCUUCGGUGAAUGUCAUACAACAUGAGUAGUAUUAUGUUGUGGACAAGUGCCACUAACAUCUAAGUGAAUUAACCUCAACAACUUUGUGAUUCUUUCUUCCUUUCCAAAAGAAUAAAGAUUCAAACAUUUUGCCUCUAUACAAUUUUAACAAGAAGGCAUUGGAUCCGGAUCUAACGAUCCAAAGCAUCCAUCUAUGACCAACUCGUAAUUUAUGUUUUAGAGGUAUCACAACUCAGUUGGGAUUAGUCACUACCUUGCAACCUUUUGGGUUUUUAAGCAUCGUUAUAUUCUAAACAGUUAACACUACCAUAUCAUCUCUACUAUAGAGAUAAUCAAUUAGAUUACAAUAAUCUAAUCAUUCAUUAAUAAAGAACAAUGUUUUGUCAAACAAAACAUUUAUCCAUUUCUAUAGUGACGGAAUUAAGUUCCUUUAUUCAAUUGGAAUGUAAAGACAAUCUUUGUUUUUCCAUUUUCUUUGGUAGUUCAUAUGAGGAAGUAAGUACUAUCUGCUUUCGCAGAGAUCUACAUUUGAUUCACGUUCCGAAUGUGAAGUACUUUCUCUUCUCUCAUUAAUCUUCUACUUCUUAUUAGCCACACUUUUACAACGAUUGUAAAACAUAGUUACUAAUACGGAAUCAAGCAUUCAAGUAGAAGAACCAACUGUUUUGAACUAUUCAAGAACAAUUUACAACACCUUCGAAAGGUGUGUUCUUGACACUUGCAAGACAUUUCUUGCAAAUACCCCUUCCAAUGUCCAUCCUUUCAUAAAGAAAGUUUGUUCCCUUGGAGUUAUUUCGCCUUCUUCAUUUGACUUCUCCUUUGACUACAAUAGUCAUGGUCCCUAAACUCCCACUAUCUCUCUUGAAACUUAUUUCAAUUGUGUUAUACACAUCAAACAAUUUGGAGAGCGUAUGGUUAUUGUUCACUAUAUAGUUUACAAUAAACUUAGUGAACCAUUUGGAUAGGGACACAAAGGUGAAGUCCUUGCCUAGUUUCCGUCUCAUGAAGUGGUUUAACACUUCAACACUCAAUGAUUCAAAAUCAUCAUAAGUCCAUGUUGAUGGACUAUUUUUGUCAACCAACCAUUAUGUUCUAAACAUAAUUACAAACUUUCAAGAGUUGUUCAAGGCAACUCUCAUUUCUUCAUACAACAAUUUGUAAGUGAAGAAUCAUGGCACAUAAAGUGUCCAUGCCCUUGUGCUUUACUUCUCAAGUUCCUUGUUCAUGUAACAAAGAAACAAGCACUAAUGUUUGCAUUAACUAAGGGUUGUUCAAAGCAACUCUUAUUUCUUCAUACAACAAUUUGUAAUUGAAGAAUUAUGACAUUAAAAGUGUUGUCCUCUUUAUGAUAGACUUAUCUAACAUGUUCUUCCAAUGAUACAUUAUCAAUAGGAAGAUUGUGAGGAUGAGACUACUUAGGUACAUAUACAAUCCAUUUAAGACAAUCUAUGGGAUUGUGGUACCAAGUCCGGAAACUAAAGCUUUCGGCUUUUUCUUUGUCAAGUUUUGGAUAGCGUUUGCAAAUAUAUUGGUAAAUAAAUACAUAACGAAUAUAAAUUGAUUGAUUUUAAGCCAUUUGAUCUGGGUCUUUAAAUCAAAUAGCACCACCCACUAUUUUUGGCAAAUUCCAUAUCCCUCAUCGGAAUUCGAGAGUUUUGGAGGAAACUCUUAGUAGGGUAUGGGAGACUCAUCAUUACCAAGCCCACCUCACAAUGAUAUGAUGUUGGCUAGCAUCAAUAAUAAUGAGAGAGUACGCUUACUCAUUUGCAUCUCUUGCAAGUACCCAUCUUAUUUGGCCUCUAGAGAAUGAAGCCUCACAAUGAUAUGAUGUUGGCUCCAUUGCACUUAGUUAAGUCAUUCCCACCAUGUAAGUUCGAGUAGGGGUUCAAGAACAACCUCACAAUGAUAUGAUGUUGAUCAUUCUCGUUGCCUACCUUCACAACAUCAUGUAUGCAUAUAGAACUCCUCCUGAGUGUAAGCACGCACUUUGUAUUCCCCCAUGAUAGAGUGAAGUCAGUGUACAAGUCACAAACAAUCAGAGCCUACCACGGUGGAAGGCCACGAAAGAGUGUUCAAAGCACUCUCACGCUUAUCAACUUAAUAAUGGUUUGGUUGAGGGUUUUAGGUCUCAUCACAUAUAAGCAUGCAUUUUAAUCUUAUUAAAACAAUUUGGUCCUAUUACAACUAUUGGUCCAUGUGAUUGAUUUAGUUAUACAUGAUACUCCCACUAUGCUUGUAAAACGGUUUUUAAAGCAAGAGUAUAUGGUACUACUAACAUAAGGUUUGCAUUCAUUGAUGGACUAUAUAGUUGCCUUAGGGCCUUAGGAUGACUAUGAACCUUUGAUUAGAUCCAACACGAGCCUAGUGUUGAAUCUCGGUCUAGGGAUGGUGAUUGAUUUUAGUUACGCGUUUAAUCACAUUAAGGCGUGUUUUUCUUAUUGGGCGUUGGACCCAACUACUCCAAUUUCAUGCAUAUCAAAUAAAACAAGAAAGGAGUACUUCAAAGUAAAGAAGAGCUUAUGCUCUUUUACAACAUUUGAUCAAAACAAAUUACUUUAAAGUAAAGAAGAGCUUAUGCUCUUUUACAACAUUUGAUCAUAUCAAAUUACAACCAAAAUCUAAUCUACACAUUCCCAUGGUUCAAACAAAUUUGAGACGGCCUUUCACAUAGCUCAAUUAUCGUAGGCUUAGGUUCAUAAUCACCCUUUCUUUAAUUAAUUAACGCUUUAACUAAUUAAACUUGAAUGCAACAUUUUCAUUUGGUUUUUGUUUCCAUAGAAUUGAUUUAAAUGGAGCUAAAUGAAAUGAAAAUCCAAUUCUCAUUUAAAGAUACAAAACUAUUUUGUUCUCAACUAAUUUGGGCUGAAAAGCAAUAACCUCAACCAUUGGGCUAUUUUGCAAAACACAAACUUUUGAGGUCCCUUUGUAAAAACACAAAAGUCCACUACUUCAUGUAAUUACAACUAGAACCCAAAAAUUUCAACAAAUGCAAAAACUUCAUUAAAGGAGCAAAACAAUUUGUCCUUUAGUGAUUUUGGGCCUUCACAUAAAAAUGUAAACUUUCGGGUCAAAGUACAAAUACACAAAAGUAUCAAAACUUUAUGUAAUUGCAUAAAAGCCCCAAAAGUACCCCUAUUUAAUAGGGUGGCCUAUUUUGGAUGAGAGAUGGUGUCAUAAAACUUUUGAAUUUUUCAACAAAAGUAAAAGGUGAUGGGUAGGUUUGAAAAGUGAUUUCCAUAAAACAUGGUUCCUUGAAACAAUGAAAAUGUGUAAGUGAUUGGUAUGGUGUUGAUUGAAAAAUGACAAAUCAUGUCAUACCAUUUAUUACAAUAAAGUCACACCAACCACCAUAAACAAAACUUCAUGAAAAACAUCAAACACUAUGAAUCAAAACACCAAACCUUUUUGUUCUUGGUUAGAACAUAACAAGAACAAUGAAGAACAUCCAUGAAAACCCAUAAGAGCUCCAUGAACAUUUUUCACCCAAAGACACCCCAAAAAUUCUCAAAUUUAAGGGAAAAAACAUAUUACCAUACUAGGGUACUUAGGGGUUCCUAAUGUCACUUUAAAACACUUUUAACAAGACAAACAUGAACCCAAAAAUCCACCCUUUGGAUUUAGCCGAAUUUCCCCAAAAACAUGGCACCAAAUUUUAGCUCCAAAAUUCAUGCUCAUAUGAACUACAUCUACAACAUUUAAGAUGGCAAAUUUUCUAACAAAAUUUACAUUCAAAGAAGCAAGAAUAAAGCUUGUAAAAAUUACAACAUUCAAAUAAAAAACUAUGAAAUACAUAACCCAAAAGGAUUCACCAACUACUAGACCUAGGCUCUUGAUACCACUUGAAGGAAAUUUUGUGAAAAAUAGGUUCAUUUGAGCAACAUCUAUGGCAUGCAAUUAACAAUUAAAGGUGGAAUCAUGCUUGUAUGCACUCAAAACAAAACAUUACCCAUGAAAUUCAAAGCCUAGUAGAAAGGUGAACCAAGACUCAACUCAGGAACAAAGUGAGUUGAGAAAUCUUAUACCUUUGUUGAUUCCUCUUUGCAUAAGCAAAGGCUAAUCACCCAAGGACAGGGCCUUCAUUCCUUGCUUCUUAGAUCCAUGGAUUUCUUGGAUGAGGAUGGUUGAAAGGAUUCUCCAAGUUCCCGAAGUUGAGAACCUCUAAUUUUCCACACUAAGGAGGGACAUGAAGAAGAGAUGAGUGACCUUGGAGGAGGAAAGCUUGCUAGCUAAUCUCCUCCAAGGGGCCGGCCUCCUAGAGAGAAAGGGAGAGACAUGUUCUCUCCAAUUUUCUCCAAAGGAAACCCUAAGGAUGAAAUGGCUAUAAAGUUGCCUUUAUACCACCUCACAAUGGAGUGGCAAACUUGCAAUAAAGCCAAGUUCACUACCCCUCUCUAUAUGGCCGGUUUUCCCAAGCCUUUGGGCAGUUUUAGGCUUCUUGAAUUUAUUUUGUUAAGUUGUCAUACAACUUAAGCUAAUGGGCUUGACGAUUCGAAGCCCAAUUUGGGCUUUAAGGCCCAAAACUAACUCAAGGUUUAAAACGAAAUUAUUCGUUUGAUUAAUUAACAUAUUAAUUAAUUCUUGCCAUAAACAAUUAAACCAUUUAAUUGUCCUUACUGAUCUCCGUUGUUUCUUCAAUCUCUACCUUACACGGUGUACGAUCCAUUAGGUUCCUUUUAGAGAGGCAAUGGACAAUUAGAACUCUUUCAAAUCGAUUGUGAAUUGAAACUUUCUUUCAAUUCUCCCUUUAGUGAUUAUACACGUUUAGGGCUCCACAAACCAUGAAUGACACCUAGCAACAUGUCAUGGUUACCCAAGCUAAUCAGAAGAGGUGGAGAACCUAUUCAAUUUUGGAUUACAAUGCAAUACGGUAUUUCUCUAAUACAGUACUCUUGACCACAUUGUUUGGUUUAAUAGUUUAUUCAUGUCUACUAUCCAAUGUGAUUCUCUUACUUAUAUGAUUACCUUGAAUGCGAUUUGGAACGACUUCCUAAAUCUUAUUCAUACUCUGCCCAGAGAUUUUUAAUCAUAUCAUAGAGUAUUCUCCCUCAAACAGUUUGAAGGUUAGAGAUCCCUUGCUGCGCAUUCACUUGCCUCCAUGGCUAAGUGGCUUAACCCCAACUAUGACGUGGACACCCUCUAACGGAGUGACUUUGACAUAGUCAAAGAUCAAGGACCUAACCACAAGACAACUGUGAUGCCUCAGGUCAAAGGACUACUUUGCAUUAUCCCAAACAUGAGUUCUCAUGUGACAUGAAUAUGAGAACUCCUUGUUGAUCGUGUUCAGUGGACUCAUUCUCUAUUGAGCACCUACAUGCUUGUCUUGGUGUCAGUCACACCAAUGACUCGAGACCAGUCACUCUCCCUAAGAGAAGACAUAACACGUACUGAUCUUAACAGACUGUCAAUGCCCAAUUGGCAAUUCUAUGAUCAGGAACGUUUAGGAUAUGUAUACGGAAGAGAAUGGUCUUAUGAAUCUAACUUCUUUAGAUCGCAUUCUCCCAAUUACAUAUUCCUUGGACUUAUCAUUUAAGCGUAUAACAUUUAUAUGAGAUGGCUUCAAACAAUAAUUUGUGCCCUUUAAAUUAAACAAUAUUAGUUUAACAUGUGAAAUGUCCGUAAGGUAUCAUCAUAUGAUUGGUUUUAGGGCACAUUUCCAACAGGUAGAUGAUGUUCUUCCAUAUAAAGUGCUAUAUGUCUGUCUGGGUAGUUAUAGUCUCGGGUUCGGCUUCGAGCCAUUUUGUUAAGUAGUCAAUCGCUAUGAUCAUCAUUCUUCUGCCCUUAAUGAUGGGCUGCAUUGGUCCUACCAAGUCAAUCUCCCACUGCAUGAAUGGCCAAGGGCUCGUCUGCAAGUGGAGUUCGCUAGCAAGUAGUGCAGGUAAGAGCUUAAAGCAUUAGUAGUUGUCUCACCUUUAUACAUACUCCUUGGUGUCUUAAUGCAUGGUUGGCCAGUAGUAGCCUGCGUUAAGAGCCUUUUGUGCCAGGGAACAGCUU